rnacentral:rRNA from 1 species
CACGUAGGUUCCGAGCGUUAUCCGGAUUUACUGGGCGUAAAGCGCGUUCAGGCGGUUUGGCAAGUCGGGCCUGAAAUCUCUCGGCUCAACCGGGAGAGGUUGUCCGAUACUGCUGGACUUGAGGGCAGUAGAGGGUGGUGGAAUUCCGGGUGUAGUGGUGAAAUGCGUAGAUAUCCGGAGGAACACCAGUGGCGAAGGCAAUCCCCUGGGCCUGCACUGACGCUCAUGCACGAAAGCGUGGGGAGCAAACAGG